CAUUUUUUUCUUCCAUAGGGAGAUUUUUACGACCCGAACGCCUUCAUCACUCACGCGGCGUUGCUGCAUCAUGCUUGCGCCCAUUGUGCUUAUUCCCCGCUGCUGCCUCCCGUAC
rnacentral:rRNA from 1 species